GUUAGCAAAAUGAGUUGCUUGUUAUUGCCUUCUGCAGAAAAAUUUUCUUCCUUGUAAUGCUUGUUUAUAAUUUCAUAACUCACAUUGAAAUUGUUGGUGCCGAGAAGUAGAAUAUUGAAUAGGGUAUACUCAUCUGUAGGUACAAACUGUAAAAUAUACAAGAAUUUUCAAGGGAUUAAUGAAUUUAUUCUAUUAUUUGAUCGCAAAAUAUGUUUUCUCUAACACGCAGGUUCUUACCAAUGGCAUAGAAGUAAAACUACAAAGGAACGCGCUAAGUGUAAUUGAAGCUCCUACUGGGAACGAGGAGGACCGAGGACAAUGACAUUGAAUUUGAAAAUGUGCAGUGGAAUUGCUCAGAUAUGGGGUCGGGAGUUGUGAGCUUGUGACAGUGGAAUUCUUGAAAGUGUAACUCCAAAGUUUUCGUCAAAAUUCUACUUGUCAGGUUAAUCAUUGAGCAUCAGAUAUAGACUCAUACACCAUGCCUCCUAAAUAUGAGUCUGGUGCUCAAAAGAGAAAAAGGAAACGAACUGAGAUUUCAUUAAUUCAAAGUCAAGCAGGGGAUAUUGGCAAGUACUUUAAAAGCAACAAUAUGAAUACGUUGAAUGAGGAUGAAGUAGAGAUUCAACCUGCAUGUGUUAAUGAAGUAGAUGAUAAGGAUGAAGAAGUGAGUCAACCUGCCUAUGUUGUAGUAGAUGAUAAGGAAGAAGAGGUGA